AUAUAUUUGUUUUGUAAUGUAAUAUUUGUAUGAGUUCGAAUAACUAAAUUAUUAAUUUUGAUCUAUAGGAUGAGCCUGAAGAUGAGGAAGAGACAGAGGAGUGGAGACAAGUGGAAGAUGAGGAAGAGACAGGGUGGGGUGAAUGGCCCAAUGAUGGAGGGUUGGGAGUUGGGGGAGCUAGUGGGUCAAGGGAAGGAGAAGCUGGUGUUUCAGGUGGAGGUUCUGGAAGCGGGGGAGUUGGAGGGUCUUCACGGGUCCGGAAGCCGCGGAAGACUAGUUGGGUCCCCCCUCCUAAAGAACCAGUUAACAAGGUUGAGAUAAUCCCGAGUGGAGAUGGGGCUUGGCUGGAUAGUAGUUUCACCGGCAAAGAUCGUGUAAGGCAAGUAAAUAAAGUGUUGGGCAAUAUCUGUCGUAUGAGAUGGCCUGGAUUGGUGAUUGAGAAUGGUAUUGAGGUCCCUGUCACAAGAUGGGAUCAAUACGGCCUUGCGGUUAACGCGCAACAUGGGAAUGCGCAAGGUGCAGUUUGGCACGACUUCUGGGUAUGUUUAUCUAUCUUCUUGCGAAGUUAUCAGCUCAAUGAUUGAUUCAUAUUAUGGAUUCUUGACUAUGUUUCUUUUUCAGAAAUAUUAUAAGUUGCCUGAUGGAGAUACUCAUACCGAGCAUGCACACUCCAUGUUCCAUAAGAACGCGGCAGAUGUUGUUGCGGAUAUGAUGUACUAUGUUCGAAUCCAGGUGAUUAAUCAAGCUAUGUUGAGUAGUGAAGGACGACGAGCAACCAGUAAGAGCGAGGCGUCACAAUAUGGACUUUCUAUGACUGAGCAAGAUUUUCUUCAGGUAAUUGAUGUUUUUGCUUAUGUUGGAAAAAUUGAUGUUUUUGCAUAUGAUGUACUGUGUUCCUUGUAUAUGUUACAGUUACUUAUAAAUGAAUUGUGUUUCCAUAGCAUUCGAUUCCAUGGAUAGCUGCCAAUGAUGCUGCUUGGCGUGCCUUAUGCCGUUAUUGGGCUUCGGAUAAUUUCAAGGCAAAGUCUAUACGACAAAGUUCCAAUCGUGGAACCGAGUCGUAUCACAAGUAUGGAGGUGAUGAUCACUUUCGUUUGGCAAAACGAAUGGAAGCUAGCAGUGGUGUAGUGCCCAGUGAUGUUCAAAUAUACCUGAGGGGGCACAGAGGACCAGAUCCUGCAAAUCCAGAUGUGUUGUGUAGCCAAAAGGCAACAGAUCGUCUGGCUGCAUAUGCUGAGGCGAUGUCUAGUCAGCACGGAUCGGACUAUGAUUGGAGGACCGCACCUAUUGAUCCUCAGGCUAUGUAUGCAAGUGGUGGAAAACCCCAUGGAAGGUGUGGACUCUACAUACCUUAUCUUAUUUCAUCGGUUUAAGUACAAUAGAUUAUUUUUGAAUCUGUCGUGAUGUUACUUGUUUGAAGGUACUCGAUUUUCGAUAACGUCAUCGACUCGAGCCAGGUGACGGUUCAGAGGGGAGGUUCAUCGAGGUCUGCUGCUCGUAGCUCCCGUCGCUCUACUCAGGUUACUGCAGAAGUUGAGCAACUACGAGAAGAGCUUAGGCAACAUCAGGAGCGACAAAGGGUUCAGGAGGAAUACUUGAGGCAGCAUGCUGCUCAACAAGAAUACUAUGCUACUCAGUUUCAACAACAGCAAGCACUGAUACAAGUAAGUUCAAAAAGAUCAUUCAUUUUAAGUUAUGUAUUGAUUUAAAACACUGACAUUAAUGUGUUCGGAAAUUUGGUAGCAACUAGCACAAGCCCAAGGGAUACAGUUUCCGAUGGCCCCCCCACCUCCACCUUCCAUACAUUUUCCUUGGCCUUCACCUCCACCUCCACCUACCGAACAUCAGGUAUGCAAAUUUAUCAUAAUUUACUUGUUACAUUACGAUGUAACUCCGUGAAUGUCAUUUGUAUAGGUAUAUGAGACUCCUCCAGCUACCUUGCCGGCGCAGCAACAAGAUGAUGGGUUAGACUUUGUCAAUACGCUCUUCGCGAGUGGAGGUAGCGAGCAUCACUCUUCGAUAUUUCCUGAUGUUGAUCGACAGUAGUGGGCUUCCAUUCGAUGUGUUUUGUGAGACUUCAAACUUGUGUCUUGUGAGACUUGUGAAUUCUUAUGUCGAGGUGGAUUUGACUUGUGAGACUUGUGUCUUGUGAAUUCUUAUGUUAUUAUUAUGUAUGUUAGAUGUUAUAUGUGAUAUGUUGUGUAUUGUGGCUGUUAUAUAUAUUAGUGGUUGUUAUAUAUAUUUGUUAUGUAUGCAAUGUGUUGAAUUGCCAAAAACAAAUUGUAUAUUAAGUGCUGGUCAUAUUAACUUCCGAGAGGCGAGAAAAACUCUCGGAAGUUAAUGGUUAACUUCCGAGAGGCCGUCGGAAGUUAUUCCGCGGACGGCGUUAGUCCGUGCUGGACGGCGUCAGCAAUUAACUUCCGAGAGGCGGACGGCCCCUCGGAAGUUAAUAAUUAACUUCCGAGCAGCGGACGGCCCUCUCGGAAGUUUCUUUAACUUCCGAGAGUCCGUCGGAAGUUAGCCUAACUUCCGACUAAUUUGUUCCGACGGGCUAACUUCCGACGGUUUCGGCUAACUUCCGACGGUUUAAAUAACUUCCGAGAGUUUUACGCUAACUUCCUACGGUAUAGGCCCUCGGAAGUUAGGUAUUUUGGUGUAGUGCGUUUACGAGUCCUUGUUGGAGAGGGUCUAACUUGCAGCUCAAUAUACUUGUAAACCUACUAGUGUCUAACGCGUGCCAUGCGCGCGCUAUUUAUUUAAACAUUUUGACAUUCUUAUCAAAAUGUAUGUAAAAAAGGAGGAACGGUAUAUCCGAUGAUGAAAUUGUACAUCAUCAAAAAUAUAUAUGUUGUAAUGGUUCCUUAUUUCCCGAAAGCAUGUAGCACGAUGUAAAGGUUAUCUAUAUAUAUUCAUGCAUUGUAUUUUUAGUUACAAAAUGCUAAUAUAUGUGGUCUCGAUGGCACAUCUAAUAAGGUCAUCAUUUAAAAUCAAUAUAAGCAAUAAUACUACAGUUAUUUUUUUAUAUAUGAACAGAGCAAUUUAUCCAUGCAUAAGAAAACAUAAAUAUGUAUUUUUUCCAACUUUGAACAGUUCUAAUAAUUCCUUUUGGCAAAACAUGUGAUUCAAACUAUCACUGUUUGCCCGAUUCCAAAAAUGUAAGUACCUAGAUUCAUAUGUCAAGCUAAAAUACAUAAAAUUGUUGCUCCUUAGUUACUGGAAAAAUAAUUUGCCAAGUUGAACCUCACUUGUAGUCUUUCACGACACUUAAGAUCCUGUUUGAAUAACAGUCUGAUGUCUUCCAACCCUUUAAAUAUACAUUUAAAACAUUCACAUGGAAACUUUUGAUGAUGAGUACUUUAAGGGGGCAUGAUAUUAGAACUCAUAUGAAUGACAAGCAUCGGACAACCAUUAAUUCCAAAAAAACAAAAGUACCAAACAUACCUUGUAAAUGUUAAACCAAACGUCUGCUUGGCUGUAUAUAUUACUCUUAGUGCAGAUAAAA